rnacentral:rRNA from 1 species
UUCAUGGAGAGUUUGAUCCUGGCUCAGGACGAACGCUGGCGGCGUGCCUAAUACAUGCAAGUCGAGCGGACAGAUGGGAGCUUGCUCCCUUAGGU